rnacentral:tRNA from 1 species
GUGAGCUUAGUUUAAUGAAAAUAUUUGCCUUGCACGCAAAAGAUUCUUGGUUGGAACCCAGGAGCCCACA